GGGGUCUAGCUCAGUGGUAGAGCCUGUGCUUGGCGUGCACAAGGUCCUGGGUUCAAUCUCCAGUGACUCCA
rnacentral:tRNA from 1 species